rnacentral:rRNA from 1 species
AUGGAGAAGGAGAAGCAGAAGCAGGGGGCCGACGGCGCCCUCCUCCUCGCGCUGCGCUGCUCCAGGGCGUCUCUCGUCCUCUCCUCUCUCCGCCAGCCACCCCCCUCGACGGCGACGACCCGCCGGACCUCAUCCUCAGCGGAGUUCGAGCUGCGGAACGCGCGCCUCCUCGACGCCGAGCUCGCGGCGGCGCGGCGCGCGGCUGCCAGAAGCGCGCGGAUAUCCGCCGCUGAGAUUCUCUUCGUCGUUGCUCUGGUCCCCCUCCUCAUGCUCUUCGUUGCGCUUCUCGCGAGCGCUGCCGCGGAAGCGGUCGCUUGA